AAGUGGUGUCCCUGCAGCUGAAAAUCUGACACAGGCACCCACCAUAGUGCUACCCUUUGUUGCUCCUCCCUCAUCUCCGGCAUCUUUCCUUCAAUCGGAACCUCCUUCUGCAACUCAAUCACCAUCUGGGUUAUUGUCCCUCACCUCCAUUAAUGCCAAUAUAUAUUCUCCAGGCGGGCCUGCCUCCAUUUUUGCCAUUGGACCUUAUGCCCACGAGACCCAGCUAGUCUCACCCCCUGUGUUCUCAACCUUCACCACUGAACCAUCAACUGCUCCCUUCACUCCUCCCCCUGAGUCAGUCCACUUGACCACACCCUCUUCCCCUGAAGUGCCAUUUGCUCAACUCUUUGAUCCAAACAACCGCAAUGGUGAGGCUGGCCAUAGAUUUCUAUUAUCUCAAUAUGAAUUUCAGUCCUAUCAACUUUACCCUGGAAGCCCAGUUGGCCACCUUAUCUCACCGAGCUCAGGGAUCUCAGGUUCUGGCAC
rnacentral:lncRNA from 1 species